CUUCAUGUGUUUAUCUCUGUUGGAUCUGUCUGUGUUGUGGUUCUACUGGUUUUACUGGCUCUACUGGUGAGAAGAGAUGUUGACCGGAAACCUGAAGAGGUUUAUACAGCUGUAGUUUACUCAGCAGUGAGAGCUGAAGACGUCAGUAUUGGAGACAAAACCAUCAGAAAGAGGAGUCCAAGACUUUAAACCAGAGCCAGACGUCGUCUACUCUUCACUGAAGUAGUCCACCAGUCCAACCACUGACGUCCAGCUGCUGGUCUCUAACUGGUCCUCCAGCACCUCAAACCAGAGGACAUCAACAUUGAAUUUUACAUAUCUUAAGUCUUUUUUUCUCACUGAGAAAACCCAUAGACUCAAAAAUUGUAUUAUGGAUUUUUUAAAAUUGUCCUUUCAUAAGGAAUCACAGCACACAAGCA